ensembl:lncRNA
GGGUGAUCAGUCCUUGGUUCCAAAUAUUGGGGAAGAUGCCAGAGCUAAGUAUGAUGUUAAAGAGUUUUAGUAUAGCCAAUUGGAAUUUGUUGUCUGUAUAUUUGAUCAUUUCAUUGAGGAUACCAUCAACACCACAGGCCUUUUUGGGUUGGAGGGUUUUUAUUUUGUCCUGUAACUCAUUCAAUGUAAUUGGAGAAUCCAGUGGGUUCUGGUAGUCUUUAAUAGUUGAUUCUAAGAUCUGUAUUUGAUCAUGUAUAUGUUUUUGAUCUUUAUUCUUUGUUAUAGAGCCAAAAAGAUUGGAGAAGUGGUUUACCCAUACAUCUCCAUUUUGGAUAGAUAAUUCUUCGUGUUGUUGUUUGUUUAGUGUUUUCCAAUUUUCCCAGAAGUGGUUAGAGUCUAUGGAUUCUUCAAUUCAAUUCUUCAAUCUUCAUCUCUCUCUCUCUCUCUCUCUCUCUCUCACUCUCUAUGUAUAGCUGUGUCUCCAUCUCCAUCUCUCUCUCUCUCACUCUCUAUGUAUAGCUGUGUCUCCAUCUCCAUCUCUCUCUCUCUCUCUCUCUAUCUAUGUAUAGCUGUGUCUCCAUCUCCAUCUCUCUCUCUCUCUCUCUCCCUAUGUAUAGCUGUGUCUCCAUCUCCAUCUCUUUCUCUCUCUCUCUCUCUCUCACUCUCUAUGUAUAGCUGUGUCUCCAUCUCCAUCUCUCUCUCUCUCUCUCUCUCACUCCCUAUGUAUAGCUGUGUCUCCAUCUCCAUCUCUUUCUCUCU